GACGAACGCUGGCGGCGUGCCUAACACAUGCAAGUCGAGCGGGGGGAGUACUUCGGGACAAACCUAGCGGCGGACGGGUGAGUAACGCGUGGGUAACCGGCCUCAAAGUGGGGGAUAGCCUUCCGAAAGGACGAUUAAUACCGCAUAACCCAUAGCUUCCGCAUGGUAGCAAUGGUAAAGAUUUAUCGCUUUGAGAUGGACCCGCGGCGCAUUAGCUAGUUGGUGAGGUAACGGCUCACCAAGGCCACGAUGCGUAGCCGACCUGGGAGGGUGAUCGGCCACAUUGGAACUGAGACACGGUCCAGACUCCUACGGGAGGCAGCAGUGGGGAAUAUUGCGCAAUGGGCGAAAGCCUGAUGCAGCAACGCCGCGUGAGUGAUGAAGGCCUUCGGGUUGUAAAGCUCUGUCUUUUGGGACGAUAAUGACGGUACCAAAGGAGGAAGCCACGGCUAACUACGUGCCAGCCGCCGCCGUAAAAC
rnacentral:rRNA from 1 species